UACAAACUCCUCAUUUAAAUGAUUUUGUUGCUGUAAAGACAAAUGAACAUUGUUUCUUCUUGCUUUGAGAAACUAGUGGGGACACCGGUCACGUAUGAUCAUAGAUGAUGGAGGGUA
rnacentral:pre_miRNA from 1 species